rfam:Candidatus Riflebacteria bacterium GWC2_50_8 gwc2_scaffold_3255, whole genome shotgun sequence.
GCCGGAGUAGCUCAGGGGUAGAGCAACGCCCUCGUAAUGCGUAGGUCGCGGGUCCGAUUCCCGCCUUCGGCU